GCUGGCGGCGUGCCUAACACAUGCAAGUCGAACGCGAAAGUGGAGCAAUCCAUGAGUAGAGUGGCAAACGGGUGAGUAACACGUGGGUGACCUGCCUUCGAGCGGGGGAUAACGUCCCGAAAGGGACGCUAAUACCGCAUAACAUCCUGCCUUUGAAGAGGUGGAGAUCAAAGCUGGCGCAAGCUAGCACUCGAAGAGGGGCCCGCGUCCGAUUAGCUAGUUGGUGAGGUAACGGCUCACCAAGGCAACGAUCGGUAGCCGGCCUGAGAGGGCGGACGGCCACACUGGGACUGAGACACGGCCCAGACUCCUACGGGAGGCAGCAGUGGGGAAUUGUUCGCAAUGGGCGCAAGCCUGACGACGCAACGCCGCGUGGAGGAUGAAGAUCUUCGGGUCGUAAACUCCUUUCGAUCGAGACGAAUAAUCCCUGGGUGAACAAUCCAGGGAAAUGACGGUACCGAGAGAAGAAGCCCCGGCUAACUCCGUGCCAGCAGCCGCGGUAAUACGGGGGGGGCAAGCGUUGUUCGGAAUUACUGGGCGUAAAGGGCUUGUAGGUGGCCAACUAAGUCAGACGUGAAAUCC
rnacentral:rRNA from 1 species